GACGAACGCUGGCGGCGUGGAUUAGGCAUGCAAGUCGAACGGUAUCAUCCUUUCGGGGGUGAGAGAGUGGCGAACUAGUGAGUAACACGUAGGUUAUCUACCCUCAAGACGGGGACAACCCAGGGAAACUUGGGCUAAUACCGGAUGUGAGCAACUUUUAGUUGUUUGAAAGGUGGCGUAAGCUGUCGCUUGGGGAUGAGCCUGCGUCCUAUUAGUUAGUUGGUGAGGUAACGGCUCACCUAGGCAAUGAUAGGUAGGCGGCCUUAACGGGUGGUCGCCCACACUGGGAUUGAGAUACGGCCCAGACUCCUACGGGAGGCAGCAGUCGAGAAUAGUCUACAAUGGUCGGAAGACUGAUAGUGCGACGCCGCGUGAACGAUGAAUCCCUUCGGGGUGUAAAGUUCUUUUAUAUGUGAGCAGUGCUUCUUAUAUUAACAGUAUGGGGAGAGAGAUAUUAGCAUAUGAAUAAGCAACGGCUAACUCCGUGCCAGCAGCCGCGGUAAUACG
rnacentral:rRNA from 1 species